AUUAAGAAAACAACAACAACAACAACAACAAGAACAACAGCAAGUCUGGUGGGAGGAACUUGGCGCAUUUGGCAGUUUUAUCCUCUCCAUUGUCAAAAUAUUAAUAUUCGACAUUUGUUUCAAUCCAGUAUCUAUCGAAAGAGUUACUACUUCCAAGCACGGUUCAUUAAAAAAUGCUAGCAUUAAGCCAGACUUCUGUUUAGCUGCCGCAAGAAACGAUGUGUGCUGAUUAGCUCCGUAAUUAAGACGGAACGGACGUCAGGUGUGUGAAGCGUCGCGGCUCCACGCUACGUCACGGCAGCUUGAGACGGAACAAAAAUACAGCUGCUGUUGAUGUUGUCCGAUCGACAUCCAUUUUCAUGCAAAAAAAAUAAGGGGAGCCGGCCCUAGUCUUCAGAUGUCGUGUUGUUUGACCAGCAGUCCAAAACUCAACUGUUCUUGGUUUACUGUCAGGUAACAGCAUCCUCCGACACCUGGGAGCAGGAGGAGGAAGAGAAAGAGCUGAGCGUCGACUCCUGACGAUAUUAAUGAAACGAGACAUCAGGCGAAUGCUCGCUGCGGAGAUGUAUUUACUGAAGCUGUCUGAACAGAGGGAUGGAGCCCAAACCACCGAAAUUGAUGGAGCAUCAUCUUCACCAUCUGAACUGAGCAUCAAGGAUAGGAACUGCUUCUUGCUUUUCUUGUGCCCCCACACACCCCGUCCUGCGAAAUCCCCAGCGGGGCGGUGACGGGUUCAGUGGUGCAGCUGCGCUGUAGGGACCAGCAGAGCAUCCCGCCUGCUACAUACUCCUGGUUCAAGGACAACAAGCCAAUCAGCCCGUCCCGCCACGCCAACGCCACCUACGUAAUCAACCAAAACACAGGGAUACUGGAGUUUAAGGCUGUAGCCAAAGAGGACAGCGGCCGAUACAGCUGCCUGGCUUCCAACGGAGUGGGGCAGCCCAAGAUGUGCGAGGGCAAGCACAUGACGAUAGCAGGACACAGAGGAAGGUAAGAGCUCUGUGAUUGCAUUAACAUUGAUGUGAACAAACACAGGCUAAUACUCCUACACACCGAGAUUGAGACGGGGGAGGGGAGGAGGGGUGUGUUGUUGCACGUCUGCGUGCUGAGUCAGGACUGUACAGAGUGACAGCUGUGGCCCUGUGUGUGUUUCCCAAGCCACAGCAGUGCCUGUGUUUCUAUGCAUCCCGUGAUUGGCGCUGACAGAUGUGGGGGGGAAAGAGAGAGAAGAAAUGAAGAAAUAACAAAAUUGAAAUGGUGUCACAAUCUAAAAGAUGAUCUAAAAAAAAAAAAAAAAAAGUGCAGACGAUUACAGGAGGAGAAAUAAUCAGCAUGGAAUAAUUACUGGCUGUUAAUCAGAAGGAGGAAAAUAUUGGCAUUAGAAAGAAUUGCAAGCAAUCACACUGAUUGGAUGGGUAAUUUGAAAUGGACGAUUUAGAUAUUGAGGAGUGCUGUGCCUUUACACACAAUGGACGUUUUUCUGACUGGCCCCCAAAAACCAAACAUAACUGCCUGUCAUUGUGUCAUUCGAUUACUGGCUUGUUACCAUGCAGGAGCUCCCCCUUGAAGCUGAUGCGAAAAGCUCUUUGUCUAGGUUAAAGUCUGAUGCUUAUCCCACUGAGCUAACUGGAGCUGUCAGUGUCAACUUCCUAUUUAUAGAACAGGCUCCUUCACAAAGACUCAAAGACAAUGUGACAUGAGAUCUGAUGCACCAAUAGUGGGCACAAAGUUAAUGGAGUAGAACAGGCAGAUCUAGGGUUUUUUUUCAAGGGGAGAUGGUUGGAUGAAUGUUUGUCAGACUGACCACAAAUCCAGCUUUAAACUGUUGAUGAAUCAAAUGAGUUCAUUAAACUCUUACCACAACUCA